rnacentral:rRNA from 1 species
UUCGUAGGGGGCAAGCGUUGUCCGGAAUCAUUGGGCGUAAAGCGCGUGUAGGCGGCCCGGUAAGUCCGCUGUGAAAGUCGGGGGCUCAACCCUCGAAUGCCGGUGGAUACUGUCGGGCUAGAGUGCGGGAGAGGCGAGUGGAAUUCCUGGUGUAGCGGUGAAAUGCGCAGAUAUCAGGAGGAACACCAAUUGCGAAGGCAGCUCGCUGGAACGUAACUGACGCUGAGACGCGAAAGCGUGGGGAGCAAACAGG